rnacentral:rRNA from 1 species
AGGUGUGGGACUCAUUCCACGAGUUCCGUGCCGCAGCUAACGCAUUAAGCGCCCCGCCUGGGGAGUACGGCCGCAAGGCUAAAACUCAAAGGAAUUGACGGGGGCCCGCACAAGCGGCGGAGCAUGCGGAUUAAUUCGAUGCAACGCGAAGAACCUUACCUGGGUUUGACAUAUAGAGAAAUCCUCCAGAGAUGGGGGGUCCGUAAGGGCUCUAUACAGGUGGUGCAUGGCUGUCGU